UACGAAGGGGGCUAGCGUUGUUCGGAAUUACUGGGCGUAAAGCGCGCGUAGGCGGUGAUCUUUGUCAGAGGUGAAAUCCCGAGGCUCAACUUCGGAAUUGCCUUUGAAACGGGAUUGCUUGAGUCCGAGAGAGGAUGGCGGAAUUCCUAGUGUAGAGGUGAAAUUCGUAGAUAUUAGGAAGAACACCGGUGGCGAAGGCGGCCAUCUGGCUCGGUACUGACGCUCAGGCGCGAAAGCGUGGGGAGCAAACGGG
rnacentral:rRNA from 1 species